rnacentral:sRNA from 1 species
AUAUCCUUAAAAUAUCUGAAUAAAUACAUGCCAAUAAUAAUUUGAUCGAAUCCUUUCUCUGAUUUAAAAUCCAUUUUUUACCCAAUGAAUCAACCAAAGUUUGUAAUUGAUCAAGAUU